GAUGAACGCUGGCGGCGUGCCUAAUACAUGCAAGUCGAGCGAACAGACGAGGAGCUUGCUCCUCUGACGUUAGCGGCGGACGGGUGAGUAACACGUGGAUAACCUACCUAUAAGACUGGGAUAACUUCGGGAAACCGGAGCUAAUACCGGAUAAUAUAUUGAACCGCAUGGUUCAAUAGUGAAAGACGGUUUUGCUGUAACUUCUAGAUGGAUCCGCGCCGCAUUAGCUAGUUGGUAAGGUAACGGCUUACCAAGGCAACGAUGCGUAGCCGACCUGAGAGGGUGAUCGGCCACACUGGAACUGAGACACGGUCCAGACUCCUACGGGAGGCAGCAGUAGGGAAUCUUCCGCAAUGGGCGAAAGCUUGACGGAGCAACGCCGCGUGAGUGAUGAAGGUCUUCGGAUCGUAAAACUCUGUUAUUAGGGAAGAACAAAUGUGUAAGUAACUAUGCACGUCUUGACGGUACCUAAUCAGAAAGCCACGGCUAACUACGUG
rnacentral:rRNA from 1 species